ensembl:lncRNA
UUCUGCACUAUUUUCUGCUGCCAGUGAAGAAGGAUGUGUUUGUGUCUUCUGCUCUGAUUGUAUGCUCCCUGAGUCCCUCCAGCUAUGCUGAACUUCUGGAUAUCUCCCAUUUCUUUAUCUGCCCUAAUUAAAUUGGUCAAAGUAUCCAGCACAGCAGUAGAUGGAAACAUGGAAGUGAAUAUUCUUGUCUUGUCCCUGAUCUUAAGAGGAAAGUGUUCCGUCUUUCGCCAUUAGGACCCCUUGGCAUGAUUACCUCUGGAGAACCACAGCAUGAACAAGAUUAUGGAGAAAGGAAUCAGCGGUGUGAUGUGGGGAGCAAUGAGAAACCCUGUGCUGUGAAGGCUCGCAUGCCAAAUAGAGAGUUAAAUCAGAUUAAAAUGAAGCUGGGUGCGACUUCAUUCAAGAAAAGGUAAAAGAUCAGCAAAGAAGCAGCAGGCAUUCGGAAGACAAAACGCUCGUAGUUAUCACCGGGAUAGGUCUAUCUUUGUACUUGGUUCCCAUCAAAGGUUCAGAUAACAAUUCAGCUUUUAUUUGGCAUCAUCUGGCAAAGCCACACCUUCUCCCUCCAGGCCUGGGAACUUUGUCAAUCUAGUUUUACUACUCCCCAGGGACCUCCCUGAGUGGAAGAGACCUAACAAAGUGGUGCUCUUGAUAUUCUUCUGAGGGUAGAGGUGAUGGCUUCAAGAUAAAAACAGAUGUAAAGGGUUAUCAAUCAGUAGUCCAGAGGGAAGGAACAUCCUUGGGAGAGUAGAAUGUUUGUGCAAAAGACAAUCUGAACCGCCGUCCUUAGUUAUUUCUAAAAGAUGUCGCAUGCUUGGGUGGGGUUUGAAGAACAAUGUUAAAUGUGCAUUAUUUAUUUAAGUGGCUUUAUUGGUGUGUUAGUUAAUGAGUUCCAGUCUUCAAGAAAGACCUGACAAUUAGAACAUCAAUAUUCAGAAGAUUAACAUUACUCUGGAAGGAAAACAGACCUGAAACUUUGUGUAGGACCUGGAAAAUCUAACUCUCUGGACUUAGUUUUCUCAUCUGUAAAACAAAGAUUGGAAUAAAUGAUUUUCCCAUGCUUCUAGUUCAAAGACUUCGUGAUUUGGUAAUAUUAAUCCAACAGAAUUUAUUAACAUUGAGUGCUAAUCAAAUUCAAGGCCCUUUACAGAUUCAAGUGAUAAAAGAUUGAUCUUUGUCUUCAAAUAUCAUAAAAGUAAUUAGAUACGUGGAGUGUAGAGAUAAAUGAAAAAGUAUAAAUUCCAUUCACAAAUUCAC